GGAAGGGUACUCAAGUGGCUGAAGAGGCGGCUUUGCUAAAGCUGUAGGGGGCCUAACGGUCCCGCGAGGGUUCGAAUCCCUCCCCUUCCGCCA
rnacentral:tRNA from 1 species